CCUACGGGAUGCAGCAGUGAGGAAUAUUGGUCAAUGGGCGUAAGCCUGAACCAGCCAAGUCGCGUGAGGGAUGAAGGUUCUAUGGAUCGUAAACCUCUUUUAUAAGGGAAUAAAGUGUGGGACGUGUCCUGUUUUGUAUGUACCUUAUGAAUAAGGAUCGGCUAACUCCGUGCCAGCAGCCGCGGUAAUACGGAGGAUCCGAGCGUUAUCCGGAUUUAUUGGGUUUAAGGGGUGCGUAGGCGGCCUUUUAAGUCAGCGGUGAAAGUCUGUGGCUCAACCAUAGAAUUGCCGUUGAAACUGGGAGGCUUGAGUAUGUUUGAGGCAGGCGGAAUGCGUGGUGUAGCGGUGAAAUGCUUAGAUAUCACGCAGAACCACGAGUGCGAAGGCAGCCUGCCAAGCCAUGACUGACGCUGAUGCACGAAAGCGUGGGGAUCAAACAGGAUUAGAUACCCCUGUAGUC
rnacentral:rRNA from 1 species